UACGUAGGGGGCGAGCGUUGUCCGGAUUUACUGGGCGUAAAGCGCUUGUAGGCGGUCCACCAAGUUUGGGGUGACAGUUGCCGACUUAAUCGGCAAAGUGCCUCAAAGACUGGCGGACUUGAGGGCCACAGAGGGACAUGGAACUCCAGGUGUAGUGGUGAAAUGCGUAGAUAUCUGGAAGAACACCAAAGGCGAAGGCGGUGUCCUGGGUGGUCGCUGACGCUGAGAGGCGAAAGCCAGGGGAGCGAACGGG
rnacentral:rRNA from 1 species